UUAUGGAUUGGCUAGUUUUGAGCCAGC
rnacentral:piRNA from 1 species